GGAUGCCAUCAUACCAGCACUAAAGCAUCGGAUCCCAUCAGAACUCCGAAGUUAAGUGUGCUUUGGCGAGAGUAGUACUAGGAUGGGUGACCUUCUGGGAAGUCCUUGUGUUGCAAUCC
rnacentral:rRNA from 1 species